rnacentral:snoRNA from 1 species
CUCUCUUGUGAUGAUCAAAACAUACUUUCGUUCUACUGAGUUGUGCAAAGCACACCGUGGAGAUAAAAUAUGGAGACCUGAACUGAAGAGAG